UACGAACCACACGAACGUUAUUCGGAAUUACUGGGCUUAAAGGGUGCGUAGGCGGCGCGGUAAGUCGGGUGUGAAAUCCCUCGGCUCAACCGAGGAACUGCGCUCUAAACUACCGUGCUCGAGGGAGGUAGAGGUGAGCGGAACUUAGGGUGGAGCGGUGAAAUGCGUUGAUAUCCUAAGGAACACCGGUGGCGAAAGCGGCUCACUGGAUCUCUUCUGACGCUGAUGCACGAAAGCUAGGGUAGCGAACGGG
rnacentral:rRNA from 1 species